rnacentral:rRNA from 1 species
UACGGGGGGGGCAAGCGUUGUUCGGAAUUACUGGGCGUAAAGGGCUCGUAGGCGGCCAACUAAGUCGGACGUGAAAUCCCCAGGCUCAACCUGGGAACUGCGUCUGAUACUGGAUGGCUUGAAUCCGGGAGAGGGAUGCAGAAUUCCAGGUGUAGCGGUGAAAUGCGUAGAUAUCUGGAGGAAUACCGGUGGCGAAGGCGGCAUCCUGGACCGGCAUUGACGCUGAGGAGCGAAAGCCAGGGGAGCAA